AAUACAGAGGGGGCCAGCGUUAUUCGGAAUUAUUGGGCGUAAAGGGCGCGUAGGCGGCCAUGCGUGUCUUCCGUGAAAUCCCUCGGCUCAACCGAGGACGUGCGGAAGAAACUGCAAGGCUCGAGUCCGGAAGAGGGGGGCGGAAUUCCCAGUGUAGCGGUGAAAUGCGUAGAUAUUGGGAGGAACACCAGUGGCGAAGGCGGUCCCCUGGGCCGGAACUGACGCUGAGGCGCGAAAGCGUGGGUAGCAAACGGGA
rnacentral:rRNA from 1 species